UACGUAGGUGGCAAGCGUUGUCCGGAAUUAUUGGGCGUAAAGCGCGCGCAGGCGGCUAUGUAAGUCUGGUGUUAAAGCCUGGGGCUUAACCCCGGUACGCACCCGAAACUGCGUAGCUUGAGUGCAGGAGAGGAAAGCGGUAUUCCACGUGUAGCGGUGAAAUGCGUAGAGAUGUGGAGGAACACCAGUGGCGAAGGCGGCUUUCUGGCCUGUAACUGACGCUGAGGCGCGAAAGCGUGGGGAGCAAACAGG
rnacentral:rRNA from 1 species